GACGAACGCUGGCGGCGUGCUUAACACAUGCAAGUCGAACGGAAAGGCCCUGCUUGCAGGGUACUCGAGUGGCGAACGGGUGAGUAACACGUGGGUGAUCUGCCCUGCACUUCGGGAUAAGCCUGGGAAACUGGGUCUAAUACCGGCUAGGAGCCAUUUUUAGUGUGAUGGUUGGAAAGUUUUUUCGGUGUAGGAUGAGCUCGCGGCCUAUCAGCUUGUUGGUGGGGUAAUGGCCUACCAAGGCGGCGACGGGUAGCCGGCCUGAGAGGGUGGACGGCCACACUGGGACUGAGAUACGGCCCAGACACCUACGGGAGGCAGCAGUGGGGAAGAUUGCACAAUGGGCGCAAGCCUGAUGCAGCGACGCCGCGGGGGGGAUGACGGCCUUCGGGUUGUAAACUCCUUUCGCUAGGGACGAAGCUUUUUGUGACGGUACCUAGAUAAGAAGCACCGGCUAACUACGUG
rnacentral:rRNA from 1 species